rnacentral:rRNA from 1 species
CCUUUGACGUUAGCGGCGGACGGGUGAGUAACACGUGGGUAACCUACCUAUAAGACUGGGAUAACUUCGGGAAACCGGAGCUAAUACCGGAUAAUAUUUCGAACCGCAUGGUUCGAUAGUGAAAGGUGGUUUUGCUAUCACUUAUANAUGGACCCGCGCCGUAUUAGCUAGUUGGUAAGGUAACGGCUUACCAAGGCGACGAUACGUAGCCGACCUGAGAGGGUGAUCGGCCACACUGGAACUGAGACACGGUCCAGACUCCUACGGGAGGCAGCAGCC